rnacentral:rRNA from 1 species
AUACGUAGGGGGCGAGCGUUGUCCGGAAUGAUUGGGCGUAAAGGGCGCGUAGGCGGCCCGGUAAGUCUGGAGUGAAAGUCCUGUUUUUAAGAUGGGAAAUGCUUUGGAUACUGUCGGGCUUGAGUGCAGGAGAGGUAAGUGGAAUUCCCAGUGUAGCGGUGAAAUGCGUAGAGAUUGGGAGGAACACCAGUGGCGAAGGCGACUUACUGGACUGUAACUGACGCUGAGGCGCGAAAGUGUGGGGAGCAAACAGGAUUAGAUACCCUGGUAGUCCACACUGUAAACGAUGAAUGCUAGGUGUAGGGGGUAUCGACCCCUUCUGUGCCGCAGUCAACACAAUAAGCAUUCCGCCUGGGGAGUACGGCCGCAAGGUUGAAACUCAAAGGAAUUGACGGGG